UACGUAUACUCAGGUUAUUAGGGGAAAUCUUCACUGAAUCUUUUCCUUUGAUUCUUGUGACCCAAAACCUGAGUAACCACAUAAUUGGCCAUGAAUCACCUAAAAUUUUAUUAUCCCGAGACUCCAUUUGGCAUUUUAUUAGAACGAAGGGCAAAAGAGAAAGGCUGUGUCCAGUGCUUGUGGUGUGGGUCUCACAUGUGUGGGCAGAUUCAGGUAAGUAUGAAACACCUUUGUGACUCCUCCAAGUCAUAGCUGUUGGCAAGGCAUUGGGAUGCAUGACUGACUGUCUUAGUAUGCCAGAGAUUAUGAGUUUGAGACCAGCCUGGGCUGAAAAAUGGUUGCCUAGCAUGGCUCCGGGAAAUCCUUUUGGCUUGAUCUGUAAUAUCAUUAUUAUUCAAGGCGUGCGUGCUUUUAUUUCUUUCUUUGUUGUUUUUUAAAGUAUUUGUAUGUUGUGAGCAUACACCUGGAGGUAAGGGCAGAAUGUGUGGGAUCCUGGGUCUCAUAUGGCUUCCAGAGAUCAAAUCAGGAGGCCAGGCCCUGUGGUAGGUGACUUUACCCAGUGAGCCAGCCGUCUUGCCAGCCUCAUUUGCUGUCUUGAGGCAGUCUCACUAUGUAUGACCCCAGGAUGGCCCUGAAGUUGCCCUCCUGUCUCCAACUCCUAAGCCCUAGGGUUACAGCGUGCCCCUCCAUACCCACCCUGCUGGAGUUACAGCCUGCCUCUCUUGGCACAGCCUGCUCCUGCACUCCCUUUAUGCUGCUUUUUCAAAAAUUUUCCUGGACAGUCCUAGCCAGACAGGGUGGUUUACACCUAUAAUCCCAGACAUUAGAACACCAUGACAGAACUGCCACAAAUUCAAAGCUAGCCCAGACUACAGAGUCAGGUGGGUGUGUCGGGUGUGGGAGGGGGAGGAAAUAGGAAAUCUGAUCUGAGUUGCUUAAGCAUCUGAAGAGGGUGGCAGUAACUAGGCUGUAAGGACAGUUGGUUAAGGCUGCGGGUGACCCCAGCUUUGUCAGGUGUAGAGGUCACGUGUCCUAGCCCAUCAUCCCUUUCCCUGCCGGCCUUAUACUGCAUACCAAGGGAUUAUGUGUGGUAUUGGCUGUACUUAACUUGUAAAAGAGGAUGAAUCCGAUUGCUUAUCUGCAGGCACAUCCUUGCUGUUAGUGCUUUGCUGGCUGCUAAGACUGGAUAGUAGAAUGCUGUCCCCAGUUGGGAGAUAGUGUGGAUUCCACAGAGUCCUAGGAAUCCAGAAAUUGUGCUGCUUCCUUUCAAAGAGAGGAUUAGGAACAGGCCAUAACUGCCUGAAGCCUGCUGCCUCUAGGCUGAGAUUCUGUGGGCUCUAGUAGCCACUCCUAGCUGGUAUUUCGUGGCUUAUCGUUGCCCAUAAUCAAGGGUUUUAAAAAGGAACAGAGUGUUCUCUCUCUGUCUCAGAAAAACAUGAUAAAGAUUUUAACUUUUUAUUAUUUUUAUAAGGUACAGGGUCUUGCUUUUUUAUGUAACCCAGGCCGGCCUGAACCCUCACUCCUGCAUCAGCCUCCCCAGUGCUGGGGUUAUAAACAUGCGCUGCUGUGUCCAGCCCGGAAUUUAACCCUUUGCAGCAAACUCAUCCAUAGCUUCCCAUCUUCUAGCACUUCAAACAGUCUCUGUUUUAUGUCUAGUGUUUGUUCCAGUCACUGUAAAGUCGAAUCG
rnacentral:lncRNA from 1 species